rnacentral:lncRNA from 10 species
UUGAAAAGGUAAACACUGAUUACUUUUUCAUAAAACAAACCCAAAUGCAUGCUUGUUGAUGAAGGGCAGCCUGGAGAUGAAGACAUGCCACUGCGGUGAUGGGCCAUACUCAAAGCCACAGCAUGAUACUCGGUCACAACCCACUCAGUCCUCACACAAACUGAUGCUGGAAGGAGUCAUCUCAGGAAGGCCAUAUAUUGCAUGAUGGCAACCAGAUGAUUUAAAUGAAAUAGAACCAGCUAUGUUCUGCAUUGGCAAUGGCUUCUUCAACAUGUAGUUACUCAUGCUUAUGCUUUUACUAGUACAGAGGUUGGACUAGAAUGAACCACUUUCUUACUUCUCCAGUGACACUGGGUGCUUCCUACAGUGUUACAACAAGAGGCUCCUGAGACCUCACGGUCCUACCUCCUGCAAGGUGUUUGAACAGUGGGUUCUAAUGUUGUCAACCUGAUUCUGCAUUCUAAAAUUGCCCUUUAACUUUUCACUAAAUGGAAGGCUGCAACCCCCAGAGUGACCUGUGUACAUACCUGUCUUCACAGCUGGAAAGAACUUAAUGCAUCUAUGUAAACUGAUUAAGAAUUACAAAUCACAACGAUGAAACCAUCAAUGAGAUUCCUUUAAUAAGUUCCACAUAUAUUUUCGAGGCCAUAUAUUGUUUUUCUCAUAAAUGUAAGCAUGCAAGCAUUUAAGAUACAUUUUGAAGUAAGUCACACAUUCAUGAUUUUAAAAAAUGAAUACAAACAAUGUAAGUUUAUCUUGAUUCAAGAACACACUCACAAACACAUAUAUUUCACCAUUAACUAUCUUUAGAUUGUACCAAUUGAAACAAAAGGCCAACCCAAGAGGUUUUGAAAAUGCUGUAGUAGUAACUUAACAUCAGGAAGCUGGGAAUAUGGGAAUCCAAUCUGCUGCACAUCUGUCUGGGAUAAAAGAUGAGCAGACCACUAUUA